UUUUUAAAGACUUUUCUUUUUUGGUCCUUUAAAAAAAUUCAAGGAAAGUUUUUAAUUAAUUGGGGCGAUUUUUAAAUUUUUAAAAACUUUAGAAAUGUAUUAUUGGAUCCAAUAUUAUUGAUAUUUUAAAAAAAAUACUCUAGGGAUAACAGCGUUAUUACUUUGGAUAGUUCAUAUAGAUAAAGUAGAUUGCGACCUCGAUGUUGGAUUAGGAUACCUUUAUUGAUGAAGAAGUUAUAAAAGGAGGUUUGCUCAACCUUUUAAUUCCUACA
rnacentral:rRNA from 1 species